rnacentral:rRNA from 1 species
ACUCAAAUGAAUUGACGGGGGCCCGCACAAGCGGUGGAUCAUGUGGUUUAAUUCGAAGCAACGCGCAGAACCUUACCUAGGCUUGACAUCUCUGGACCGCUGCAGAAAUGCAGUUUUCGUAGCAAUACGACCGGAUGACAGGUGCUGCAUGGCUGUCGUCAGCUCGUGUGGUGACAUGUUGGGUUAAGUCCCGCAACGAGCGCAACCCCUGUCUUUAGUUGCCAGCAUUCAGUUGGGCACUCUAAAGAGACUGCCGUGGUUAACACGGAGGAAGGUGGGGAUGACGUCAAGUCCUCAUGGCCUUUAUGUCUAGGGCUACACACGUGAUACAAUGGUUGGUACAAAGGGAUGCGAACCCGCGAGGGGGAGCUAAUCUCAAAAAGCCAAUCUCAGUUCGGAUUGGAGUCUGCAACUCGACUCCAUGAAGUUGGAAUCGCUAGUAAUCGCGGAUCAGCACGCCGCGGUGAAUACGUUCCCGGGCCUUGCACACACCGCCCGU